rnacentral:lncRNA from 1 species
AUUCAAUUAAGGACUCCUCUUCCCACUUGGAGCCGGUCUCCAGGGCAGAUCUUCCGGGCGACUCGCCCUGUAAGAAAUUAGAAAAUGCUACAAUAAAGCCCUUUAAAAAAAAAAAAAAAAAAAACUGAAAUAAAGAAAGUGUCAACUUUAAUAAUGACAGCUCUCACGCUGUCCGCCGUAGACGCGCACGUCCCUUAAAGUUGGAAGUCAGCGAAAAGACGAAGCGAAGUAGCUCAGAUCAUUCAUGGAAAGCCAUCUUCUAUAUUAAAAAUGCCACUGCUAGUACAACACAAGAAUUCAGAUGGCAGUAGAGUGAGUGUUGGCCAGAGGCGAUAACUUCUCAGCAGAUUUAGCUUCAGUACAGAUUGUUCAACAGGAAGGUGAGUCUUAAACUUAUAUCUAUGUUUCAUUGUACGUUGUAUAACAAUAUUUGCUGUGAAUUUAA